UGAUCCUUGUACAUUAAAUAACGUAUCAGUUUCUCCUAUUAAUGAUGCUGGAAUAGGUUCAUCUAAUAAUAUCAGCUUCUAUUAUGAAAAAGUUCCUCUUGUCACUCCUAAUGUUUCAGUAAUGCCAGUAGUUGAUGAACAAAAAUUAUCAGUAAAUAUCAGUUUUGAUCAUACAGAAUUACUGUGCAUUGGUGAAUAUCCCAAUGAUAUAACUGUCAAUAUAUUGAAUAAUAAUAAUGAGAUACAAGAGAGUGUUAGUUUACCAAAGUAGUGUUGUU